CAUGGUUCGAAAUUGAAAGGCGGCUUCGGCUGUCACUUAUGGAUGGACCCGCGUCGCAUUAGCUAGUUGGUGAGGUAACGGCUCACCAAGGCAACGAUGCGUAGCCGACCUGAGAGGGUGAUCGGCCACACUGGGACUGAGACACGGCCCAGACUCCUACGGGAGGCAGCAGUAGGGAAUCUUCCGCAAUGGACGAAAGUCUGACGGAGCAACGCCGCGUGAGUGAUGAAGGCUUUCGGGUCGUAAAACUCUGUUGUUAGGGAAGAACAAGUGCUAGUUGAAUAAGCUGGCACCUUGACGGUACCUAACCAGAAAGCCACGGCUAACUACGUGCCAGCAGCCGCGGUAAUACGUAGGUGGCAAGCGUUAUCCGGAAUUAUUGGGCGUAAAGCGCGCGCAGGUGGUUUCUUAAGUCUGAUGUGAAAGCCCACGGCUCAACCGUGGAGGGUCAUUGGAAACUGGGAGACUUGAGUGCAGAAGAGGAAAGUGGAAUUCCAUGUGUAGCGGUGAAAUGCGUAGAGAUAUGGAGGAACACCAGUGGCGAAG
rnacentral:rRNA from 1 species